GGUUGUAGCUCAGUGGUAGAAUACUUGCCUUGCACACAUGAGGCCCUGGGUUUGAUCCUAAGCACCA
rnacentral:tRNA from 1 species